rnacentral:tRNA from 1 species
AUUUUAGUAGUGUAAACAAAAACACGUAAAGAUUUCAACUUUUCAAUUCAAUUUUUUAGACUAAAACC